rnacentral:rRNA from 1 species
AACGAACGCUGGCGGCAUGCCUAACACAUGCAAGUCGAACGAGACCAUCGGGACUGGUGGCUCACGGGUGCGUCACGCGUGGGAACGUGCCCUUAGGCUCGGAAUAACUCUCCGAAAGGGGUGCUAAUGUCGGAUAACUUCUUCGGACAAAAGAUAUGUCGCCUUUGGAUGGGCCCGCGUUGGUCUAGCUUGUUGGUAGUGUAAAAGCCUACCAAGGGGAGGAUCCAUAGCUGGGCAGAGAGGCUGAUCCGCCACUCUUGGGGUGAGACACGGCCCAGACUACUACGGGAGGGAGGAGAGGGUAAUAUUGGACAACCGGCGAAAUCCUGAUCCCCCUAGGCCUCGAGAGUGAUGAUGGCGUUAGGGUUGUGAAGCUCUUUUAUCCGGCACGAUAAUGACGGUACCGGAAGAAUAAGCACCGGCUAACUCCGUG